GAAGGUGUAGCUCAAGUGGUAGAGCGCAUGCUUAGCAUGCACAAGGUCCUGGGUUCAGACCCCAGCACCUCCA
rnacentral:tRNA from 1 species